rnacentral:lncRNA from 1 species
AACCAUAUUACCCUUACCAUUAUCUACUUUACUGUCUUUUUAGGUGUUAUAAUUACAAUAUCUAGCACUAAUCUAUUAUUAAUAUGAUUAGGACUAGAAUUAUGCUUCCUAGCAAUUGCUCCACUAUUAACAACAACAACAAAAAAUCCAUGAUCGACUGAAACUGCGACAAAGUAUUUUGUUCCACAAGCAACAGCCUCAAUAAUUAUUUUACUACCCAUUGUACUCAAUUAUAAACAAUUAGGAACAUGAACAUUCCAACAACAAACAGUUUACUUCUUUAUAUAACACCAAUUUCACUAUCAAUAAAACUUGGCCUAGCUCCAUUCCAUUACUGACUUCCUGAAGUAACCCAAGGAAUUCCACUACACAUAGGAUUGAUUCUCCUUAUGUGACAAAAAAUUGCACCUUUAUCAAUUCUAUUUCAAAUUUAUCAACUAUUAAACCCAACUAUCAUCUUAGCCCUCACAGUUACAUCAAUCUUCAUAGGAGCAUAAAGUGGAUAAAAUCAAACACAAAUACAGAAAAUUAUAGCAUACUCAUCCAAAGUUCACAUAGGAUAAAUAUUAGCAAUUCUUCCAUACAACCCAUCCCUCAAUUUCACUAUUAUGAAACAAAACACCUAUAAUACUAACAAUAACCUCCCUAAUUCUCCUAUAUUGA